rnacentral:rRNA from 1 species
UUGACCUCGGAUCAGGUAGGGAUACCCGCUGAACUUAAGCAUAUCAAUAAGCGGAGGAAAAGAAACCAACAGGGAUUGCCUCAGUAACGGCGAGUGAAGCGGCAACAGCUCAAAUUUGAAAUCUGCCUCUAGGCCGAGUUGUAAUUUGUAGAAGAUGCUUCGGGUGUGGCACCGGUCUAAGUUCCUUGGAACAGGACGUCAUAGAGGGUGAGAAUCCCGUACGUGACUGGCUGCCUUCGCCCAUGUGAAGCUCUUUCGACGAGUCGAGUUGUUUGGGAAUGCAGCUCAAAAUGGGUGGUAUAUUUCAUCUAAAGCUAAAUAUUGGCCAGAGACCGAUAGCGCACAAGUAGAGUGAUCGAAAGAUGAAAAGCACUUUGGAAAGAGAGUUAAACAGUACGUGAAAUUGUUGAAAGGGAAGCGCUUGCAACCAGACUUGCGCGCCGUCGAUCAUCCGAGGUUUUCCCCGGUGCACUCGGCGGUGCUCAGGCCAGCAUCGGUUUCGGUGGUUGGAUAAAGGCCUUGGGAAUGUGGCUCCUCUAGGAGUGUUAUAGCCCUCGGUGCAAUGCAGCCUACCGGGACCGAGGACCGCGCUUCGGCUAGGAUGCUGGCGUAAUGGUUGUAAGCGACCCGUCUUGAAACACGGACCA